rnacentral:rRNA from 1 species
AUUGAACGCUGGCGGCAUGCCUUACACAUGCAAGUCGAACGGUAACAGGUCUUCGGAUGCUGACGAGUGGCGAACGGGUGAGUAAUACAUCGGAACGUGCCUAGUAGUGGGGGAUAACUACUCGAAAGAGUGGCUAAUACCGCAUGAGAUCUACGGAUGAAAGCAGGGGAUCGCAAGACCUUGUGCUACUAGAGCGGCCGAUGGCAGAUUAGGUAGUUGGUGGGAUAAAAGCUUACCAAGCCGACGAUCUGUAGCUGGUCCGAGAGGACGAUCAGCCACACUGGGACUGAGACACGGCCCAGUCUCCUACGGGAGGCAGCAGUGGGGAAUUUUGGACAAUGGGCGCAAGCCUGAUCCAGCAAUGCCGCGUGCAGGAUGAAGGCCUUCGGGUUGUAAACUGCUUUUGUACGGAACGAAAAGCCCUGGGUUAAUACCCUGGGGUCAUGACGGUACCGUAAGAAUAAGCACCGGCUAACUACGUGCCAGCCGCCGCCGUAAGAC